GAAUUUCUUUUGGUAAAUUGGGUGAAGUAUAAUUGGUUGAUUGUCUUGAAGUCGAUCCUUGUAGGUGUUGUAUCCUACUUGUGUUGUUUUGCUCCUCCCCCUACAGUUCCGCGAUCAUGCUAAGCCAAAAAAACGACAGAUUGUAUCCUGAAGUUACUUAUGCCUUGCAGGUUACAACCCUUUUUUGUGGUGUUAGUCUUCAUGGUUAACUCAGGCUACUAUUGCUGUGAUUCCUAAAAUUCAGUAAAACUAAACUCUUUUCGGCGAUGAGUUUUGAGGCAACCUAAUUCCUCCGAUCUGCCCCCUCUUUGAUGAGUUCAAUGGUUCCAACAUCAUCUAGAAAAUCGUCGACAACACUCAGGUUCUAUCAUUCUUGUUUUGUUAUUUUAUUGCACUUACCUAAUAAAAUUAACAUAAUUGUUCUAUUAUUUGAUGUUUCUAUUUCUAUAACCUAUGUUUGUGGCUUUUGGGUAUGAUGGUAGUUUAAGAAUGUCUCCUCGAUUAGGUUUAGGGUUUGGGGGUCAGGGAUGGUAAAAGUAUCAAGAGAGAUUCUAGAUUGUAAGUUAGAGUCUAUAAAACAUAGCGAUAUUAAUAGGGAGGUCAAACGAGUUAGUAAAUAUUCUUAAGAAGAGGAAGAUUAAUAUAACUUGUAUCCAGGAAAUCAAAUGGGUAGGAACCAAAACUGUCAUCAUACUCCAAAAGUUGAUUUCUAGUUUUCUAAAGAUUAUAUUUACAACGGGGGUAAGUUGAACGAGAGAAUCAAAGGGUCCUUUACAUCAAUAAUAAAUUUGUAAUUAAAAACAGGAAGAGUGUCAAUAAAAGAUUGAUCGACACUAAUAAAGGUGAAAAGGUUGUUGCAAUUGACCUAAAUUGAAAUCUAACAAAUAAAUGAAGCAAACCAAAA